CAACUAUAGGUUAUGUGCUCCAUAAUGAAUAUAAAGCUAUCGAUAUUUCUACUUGAGCAAUGUUCUACAAAGUGUAAUCUUGCAGGAAUCAACAACUGGAAUCAUAGCGGUGCAAUGUUAAUUUUCAUAUGAAUUAAUCUGGCCUUCUUCUUCAUAGCUUGUUGGUGACAAUGAAUCUGGUCUGGGUUUGUCACCGUGGCGGUGAAGACACUGGGGAGUCAAGUUGGUGUCAGUUGCUUACUGUCCACCUGUGGCACAGCUGGAUGUGUGUUCGAAACUAAAACUUCAAAGACGGUAAACCAAUUUACAAGCCUGGUGCAAAAUCUCCAGGAACCAUGCAAAGAUUACUCUGAAUGACAAGAGAUGGCUGGCCAUUUUGGUCAGACUGGCCGAGCUGGAUGGCAACCAGAUGGUGCCGAUGCAGUGCCGCCGAGCAGUGUGCCCUGUAUGCGCGCUGCAGUCUGGUGGGCGCGCAGGCAACCGCCUGACGCGGGUGCACUGCUGGUGUGCAGUUUGCGCUGUAUGCGCGCUGCUAUCUGCGCUGUAUGCGCGCUGCUGUCUGCGCUGUAUGCGCGCUGCUGUUUGCGCUGUAUGCGCGCUGCUGUCUGCGCUGUAUGCGCGCUGCUGUUUGCGCUGUAUGCGCGCUGCGGUCUGGUGGUCGCGCAGGCAACCGCCUGACGCGGGUGCACAGCAAGCAUGCUGUCUGCGCUUGAUGCGCGCUACAGUUAACCAUAGACGGCUGACGUGGAAGAUGCAUCGACGGGUGUUGCAACGACGGGCAUUUACAAGUUUUCUUCAGACCGCUCUCGACGGGAUCUCACGCAGAAAUGCGUUGAGUGGCUUUGCCUUUCGUUCAUAAUAUGAAUGACUGCGCUUGGGCGGGGCCGCCUGCUAUGCGGGUGGUUACUGCGUUGGGCAAACUGCGGGGUGUCCGACUUUUUCUACAUUUCAAGAUGAUGAAUGACAUGGAUCCAUGUGUGAGAUGACUAAUGUUGGUCGAAGCCUGAUAGUUAACUGGCUGUGGUUCAUGAAACCUAACCUUUCAUGAAUCAAUAAUCAUUUUUGUUAUUUUGAAUGUUCGAGAGUUAAGACAGAGGGCCCUGAAAGAUCGAUGAACAAGAGAUUAGGCAAAGCUGUGACCACUAGGGUCGUAACUAACAGUGGGCUCUUUUGCAGAACUCUAUCUAUAUGGCAGACAUUGGGCUAAGCAGCCUGCCGCUGCCGCGACAAGUCUCCCUCCCCUACGGGACCCUCCAGGGCAUGCCGCCAAGCUGCCAAAGCGUCGCGACGGCGUCACCGCUGAACAACCAAGCUGAAGACAGCCAAGACCCUCCACCGAGCCGCUUGUCUCUCAGUAUGAGGAGAAAGCUUACAUUGAAGAUGUGCCCGAGGACGGUGCACAGUCAGGAGAGGCCGUGUUGGCAACCUCGUACAAAAUAUAGUCUGUGAAGUUAUUAUUCCGAGCGGCAACUAGUCUGUGAAUCCUCUAUUUCAAUAUAAAUUGUCUAUGGUCAUAUUUUCUUUCUUGCCGCCAUUGCGGUUUGUCAAGAACACUACUUUUUUGUGCAACUUGGAUAAAUAAUCUUCACGGAUUAAAUUAACAGCUUAGUGGUUCUUUCCUUUGAUUAUUGUGCAUUGUAUCAUGGUUGAUUGUUUUCUUUAUUAUUUCUUUGUAUAAUUUCGAUUCCACAGUACAUUUGGUUUAUAACUUAGAUUCUAAAUAUUUCAAUUGUAAUAGAAACUCAAGUGCUUAUUCUGA